GACGAACGCUGGCGGCGUGCUUAACACAUGCAAGUCGAACGGUGAACCAGAGCUUGCUCUGGGGAUCAGUGGCGAACGGGUGAGUAACACGUGGGCAACCUGCCCCAGACUCUGGGAUAACCUCGGGAAACCGAUGCUAAUACCGGAUACGACCACUUCGGACAUCCGACGGUGGUGGAAAGUUUUUCGGUCUGGGAUGGGCCCGCGGCCUAUCAGCUAGUUGGUGGGGUAAUGGCCUACCAAGGCGACGACGGGUAGCCGGCCUGAGAGGGCGACCGGCCACACUGGAACUGAGACACGGUCCAGACUCCUACGGGAGGCAGCAGUGGGGAAUAUUGCACAAUGGGCGAAAGCCUGAUGCAGCGACGCCGCGUGAGGGACGACGGCCUCGGUUGUAACCGUACUUUCUAGCAGGACGAAGCGAAAGUAGACUGUACCUGCAGAAGAAGACACCGGCGUAACUACGUGCCAGCAGCCGCGGUAAACGUAGUGUGUA
rnacentral:rRNA from 1 species